rnacentral:rRNA from 1 species
UACGUAGGGUGCAAGCGUUGUCCGGAAUUAUUGGGCGUAAAGAGCGUGUAGGCGGCCCGAUUAGUCCGCUGUGAAAGUCCAGGGCUCAACCCUGGAAUGCCGGUGGAUACUGUCGGGCUAGAGUCCGGAAGGGGCGAGUGGAAUUCCUGGUGUAGCGGUGAAAUGCGCAGAUAUCAGGAGGAACACCGGUGGCGAAGGCGGUUCUCUGGGCAUGUCCUGACGCUGAGGAGCGAAAGUGUGGGGAGCGAACAGG